GCGGAUGUGGCGGAAUUGGUAGACGCACUGGAUUUAGGUUCCAGCGCCGCAAGGCAUGGAGGUUCGACUCCUCUCAUCCGCACCA
rnacentral:tRNA from 1 species